ensembl:lncRNA
GGAAUCUAAAAGGAACAUGGCUGCAGGCGAGGAGCAGUCUCAAAACAGCCACUUCCAGCCAGUACACACAAAUAAACCUGAACGCUGAACUUCAAGAGAACCUCGUAAAAAGAGAAUUUUUGCAAUUAAAGUCACAAUGUGAGAAUCCUUUAUAUUGACUUUAAAAUCAAGCCAGUAAUAGACAAAACCAUUAAAGUGACAGAGCCUGGAGCGACUGUGUGCUGCUUUACAAUGAAAUGGCUUGUUUUCUCAUACUUUGCUGCUGACACAGUUGCCAUAUUAGAACAAAAUAAAUGGUUAGCGUCCUUGUUAUUAUCUCUCUUAAACCCAGUUGAACGGUCUGAACGCCUGCCAUUGUUCAGUCUCUGUGAUAAGGGGCAUGUGAUUCACCACUACGGCUCAGUAAAUGAAGGAUGGAGAUGAGCCACUGACAUGAAUACCCUGCCCUUGACUGAGCCAGGAUGCGAUCUCACGACUGCAUGUGAAAGCGCUCACUGGCACGGUGCCCGUCAGAUCGAGACGUCAGAGCCGCACACACUCACGCUGGCACGGGUCCCAUCGCUGCGUCCGCCCAUGCGAGGCCACCGGGCUGUGACGUUACAGAGGGAUAAUUUUGGGAUGACGCAUGCCGGUUCUCUGCGUGGAAUCAUUUUGGCUGCAUGGGUUUUUCUGGCUCAAUUAGCAGACUCUCUUUCUGCUGAAGGGGGAUUCAGCAUGUGACAGAGAGCGAGAGAGAGAGAGAGAGAGAGAGAGCACAGAACGGGUCGAGUGUCCUGUGUGUUUGUGUGUGUCCCGACGGCCCGCAGCAUUACCCAGUCUUAUGGAUCGGAGCCCCACAGAGCCGGACUUAACAAGCCUGGACUGCAGCAAUACUUGCUGAUCUGCUGAAUCCCACUGAUGUUAAUUGAUGGGCUAAGUUAGAAGAAAGAAUAAAUAAAGGCAGUCGGACAGUAGCUGCAGGUCUCUGACUCACUCAAUGGGUAACUGAGCAGAUGUACUGUAGUAAAAAGCACUGAAUGUUCAGAAUAUAUUCUUUUGUGAAGCAACAUAAAAUAAUAAGCAAACUAUUCAUUCAACAGAUGCAUGCAGCCAAAACUUUCAAUUCAAUAAAUCUGAUGCCACACUCCAAUAACCAUUGAUUAAUUCAUGGAAAAUAUUAAAUAUUACAACACAUUGCUUUAUUUCUGUAUAAAACAGCAGUUGCAGUUCUGUCUUUUAAAGGGGCAUGUGAUGAGCGUCUCAAUAGCAACAAGAGGAAAAAUGUUGGGAGCAAAAACAUGCAAGGGAGAAAGCAAACAGAUGAAAGUGCUGGAGCAGCAGAACUGAAGGCCUAAAUCUAUUUAAUCACAAAAUAAGGACAGUUCAAGAAGUGGCAGUGUAAUAUUCCCUGCAUAAAAAUCUUCCCAACCUCUCGCAAUGACCUGCAGCUGCUCUACCGGCUGCUGCCUUAUAACAGAAUACAUCUAUGUGGCAAAGAAGCUUGAAAGCACCGAAAAAUGAUUUCAUCUAUCUGCUGCAGAUUGGCCUUGGAAAUUAAUAUACCCAUGCCGGGCAGACCUGACCAGGCUUGCCACCAAAACAAGAGCCUGCGGAGUCAUUACAGGUAAUAAAUAAAUAAAUGGAAAUGAAAGAGGAAUGGGAGGUAAUUGCAAGGGAGACUGAGAUAGGAGCGUAUAAGCGAUUCGCUCGCAGGUAUGUGUGUGUGUGUGUGUGCGUGUGUGUGUGUCCAGUCCACAGUGAGGCAGUACAGACACAAACUCUCACUCACACACACACAAACACACCCUGAACUUACACAGAGCAAUUAAGGUGCUGUUGAGAUGAUACUCUUUGUGCUUCACAGAUGUAAAACACUGGUUCUAAGAGCCGAUUAUCAGCUUUAGAGAAAGCAAUCAUCAAACACAUGUUCUCUGUACCGACAACACAAAUUGACACCAGUAUCUUUGAGCUCACAUAAUGCUGCUGCUUUCCUCUUCUAACAAGCCCCGAUAAUCUGAAGAACCAUCAAACUUACUGACCUGAAGGUGAGAAACUUAUGGAAGAAAAAUAAUAUCACUUUGAAACAUAAAAGCAUGUUGAAUAGCAUUAACUGAAAAAAUAAUGCAUUGCAGUAACAGUGUUUGCUUUUUAAUGUCUUGUAUUUUCAGGGCUUGCAUUGUUAGGUCCUGAAAUGUAACAAGUAGUACAAGUUGUACAGUGUUAAACAACUUCUUAAUCUUUAAUAUAAAAACAACAACAUAUCUACAAAUAUAGUUUGGGAACAGCAAGUUUUUGAAAGAAGUAUCUUCUGUUCAUCAUCAAGGCUUCCUUUAUUUGAUCAAAAAUACAGAAAAGACAGUAAUAUUGUGAAAUAUUAUUACAAUUUAAAAUAAGUUUUCUAUUUUAAUAUACUUAAAAAUAUAAUUUAUUCAUGUGAUGCAAAGCAUGUCUUGACUAUCAUUUUUUUUUAUAUAAAUUUAACACAUCCUUGCUGAAUAAAAGUAUUAAUUUCUUUCAAAAGAGUUUCUAUUUUUAAUAAAUGCUGUUCUUUAACUUUUUAUUCACCAAAGAAUCUUGAAAAAAGUAUCAGGAUCCAAACAAAUAUAAAAAAAAAAAUAAUAAUAAUAAUAAUAAUUACAACAUUGAUAUAAUAAGUCAGCAUAUUAGAAUGAUUUCUGAAGGAUCAUGUGACACUGGAGACUGGAGUAAUGAUGCUGAAAAUACAGCUUUGAUCACAGCAAUAAAUGACAUUUUAAAACAUAUAUUCACAUAGAAAACAGCUAUUUUAAAUUGUAAUAAUAUUUCACAAUAUACCGUAUUUUUGGUCACAUAAAUGCAGCCUUGCAGAAGAGCAGAAGAGACUAUAUAUUCAAGCACUUGUGGAUGGACUGAAAGAGAAUAAUUCACUGGUCUGUUAUUUCUGUGCUCUUAUUGUGUCUCCAGACCAUUUGCUAUGUGCUCAGACUGUCAUGCUACACACACCAAACAAUUCAGACAGACACAAAAAGAUGUCUAACAGGUCAGCAGUGAACAUGCCGCAGCUCUUUUGAGGAGUCUGAUUAGACAGGCAUUCAUGCAUGGCACGGCAAUAUGGCACAAAGAAAAGCCACUACGAUGAGAUGAUUUCAGCCGUUAGACACUUUGGUUAGACACCUGUGGACCUCUAUUUGACAACAUGAUCUGAUAAUGAGAGAUACUGAGCGGCUUAUUACGAACACUUCAAUAGCAAAGAAUACUGUGUUAUAAUAUCAAAGUAAUAUGAACAUAAAGAGCAUUUUUCAGACUUUGUAGUCGUUCUAACUGCUGGUAAGAUGUCUAAUUCUGUUGAAUUGAAAGAGUGCUCAGUGUGGGUCAGGGAUGUUCUUUACUUCACAAAAUGAGAGAAAGUUAGAUACUCUCUUCAUCGAUCCAGCAGUAUGUUUGUCAAGCACACGUCCAAACUCUCCAGCUUGAUCCUCCCCACCCUUGAUGUACUUUCCAAUUCUGUAUUGCUUGGUGAAGGUAUUGUAGGAUUGUGUUUAUGUGAGAUACUGUAUUCAGAAUGUAUUUCUUUCCUUUUCUCUUUUUGUGUUUAUGUAUUUUUUAAAACUUCAGUGUAUUUGCUCACUAUCACUGUUAUUUUUUCUCUGUUGUCUCUGCUUUUUUCAUUCUACCUUUGUAAUGUUUCUUUAAAAUGUAUAAAUAAAUUAUUUUAAAAAAGAAAAAGGAAAAAAAAAACAAAUAUGCAGCAUUCCAUUUAGGGAUACUUCAAUUCUACACUGUAAAAAUAAAUCUUGUUUUGAAGAAUAAAAUGUAUAUUUUAUGAGAAAA